GGGGAUGUAGCUCAGCGGUAGAGCUUUCGUUUCGCAUGUGAAAGGCCCGGGUUUCGAAUCCCCGCAUUUCCA
rnacentral:tRNA from 13 species